rnacentral:rRNA from 1 species
UACGUAGGGUGCGAGCGUUAAUCGGAAUUACUGGGCGUAAAGCGUGCGCAGGCGGUUAUGUAAGACAGAUGUGAAAUGCCCGGGCUUAACCUGGGAACCGCAUUUGUGACUGCAUGGCUAGAGUUUGGCAGAGGGGGGUAGAAUUCCACGUGUAGCAGUGAAAUGCGUAGAUAUGCGGAGGAACACCGAUGGCGAAGGCAAUCCCCUGGGCCUGUACUGACGCUCAUGCACGAAAGGCGUGGGGAGCAAACAGG